rnacentral:rRNA from 1 species
GACUCUGGGCAGUGGAUGACUUGGCUUAUGUGCCUGCUAUGGAUGCAGCUAACUGUAGGAGUUAUUGUGAAUGGCAGAACACAUUGAUCAUUGACAGUUCUAAUGCACUUGUAGCCUGGGUUCAUCUCAUGGCUAUGCCUGUCUGAGCAUUG